GAUGAACGCUAGCGACAGGCUUAACACAUGCAAGUCGAGGGGCAGCACGGGAGUAGCAAUACAACGUGGUGGCGACCGGCGCACGGGUGAGUAACGCGUAUGCAACCUACCUAUCAGAGGGGAAUAACCCGGCGAAAGUCGGACUAAUACCGCAUAAAACAGGGGCACCGCAUGGUGAUAUUUGUUAAAGAAAUUCGCUGAUAGAUGGGCAUGCGUUCCAUUAGGUAGUUGGUGAGGUAACGGCUCACCAAGCCGACGAUGGAUAGGGGAACUGAGAGGUUGGUCCCCCACACUGGUACUGAGACACGGACCAGACUCCUACGGGAGGCAGCAGUGAGGAAUAUUGGUCAAUGGGCGGGAGCCUGAACCAGCCAAGUCGCGUGAAGGAAGAAGGAUCUAUGGUUCGUAAACCUCUUUUGCAGGGGAAUAAAGUGCAGGACGUGUCCUGUUUUGUAUGUACCCUGAGAAUAAGGAUCGGCUAACUCCGUG
rnacentral:rRNA from 1 species